ensembl:lncRNA
UUAGUAAAUCUCUGCUCCUUUGUUUUUUUUAUUUUUUAUUAUCAUCUCAUAACCUAGCAGCAUGUUUCGCUUUCCAUUUUCUAGUUUUUUCAUGACACGUUCUUUCUUAAGUUUCACAUUUGUGUUCAGAGCAGACACUUGCUUACCAAAGCAACUUACAAGAAAGUGCACAUUUUGCAGAACUGGCAAAUGCCUGAAUAUUACUUCAUCUUGGAAUGAAAGAUGCUUUACUCAUAGGCAAACCGGUUUUAGCUGGUCUGUUGAUUGUUUAGUUGCAGAAGCUGUUUGGAUGCUGAUUUAUGCCGAAAUUGGAGCUGUUUGCUUCCAGUCACAGAAAAAGAGCUAAAAUGUUUGAAAUGAAAAGUCUAAGCCUGUUUUAUUGUAUACAUGUUUAGAGGAGGUCUUUCUGUGUGGAGUUUGCAUGUUCUCCGUGUGUCUGCGUGGGUUUAUCCCGGGUCCUCCGGUUUCCUCCCACAGCCCAGAUACAUGCAGGUUAGGUUAAAUGAACAUUCUAAAUCGUCCCCGGGCGAGUGUGUAAAGACAAGACUUGUGUAUGGAUUAACUGGUUCUCACCAUGAAUAUAGUCACAGAUGCUGGAUUGGCAUUAACAAAGAAAUAAACAAACUAUACAUAAUAAAUAUAAACAGUACACACAUAUAUUAUGUAAACAAAAACUUUUAUUUUGGAUGCAGUUAAUCACGAUUAAUUGUUUGACAGCACUAAAACAAAUAAACAUAAUAAAUAAAUAAAGAAUAAUUUUGUAUUUAUUAAAUUUUUUAGCAUGAUUUUGGGAUUUUGCUGAAUGUUAUUGAACCGAUAAUCAUAAUAUGGGUGCAACGAGAUAUAAUAUUAUUUAUUUACUUAUCAUAUAAUGAAAUAUUAUUAUUUAAUGAUUAUAUAAUUGUUUAUUAUAUUUAUUAUUUAAUUUCAACAUAGAGGAACAUUGCACAAAAAAAUAACUGCCACUUGUCGAUGCAUAUUUCUGUCAUUUACUCACCUUCAUGUUGUUCCAGUAAAAAAAGAAGAAGGUAUUUUAAAAAAUGUUUCUGUUCAGCAGAAUCCAAAAUUACAUCAAACUCCAUCGACUUUCAUUGUAAAAGCAUUUUUUAAAAUAUCUUUUGCUUUCACAAAAGAAAGUAAUGUAACAAAAAUGAGAUGGGUAAAUGAUGACAGACUUUUUGUUUUUAACAUCACAAUGUCAUCACUUAACAGAAGUAAAAACAAGUUUUUCUUCACCACCAUAAAAAGAAAUAGUAACAUGUGUAUGAUAGUUUGAUGAAUAGAGCAAUGACAUGAAUUCAUGUAUACUUUCAAAAAUAAUUGUAAAAAAUAAUGUUACACAAACACAAUGCAUUGCACACCCAACACAGCCUUUAACACAGUUUUAACAUUCAUCUGAGCAGAUGAAAUCCAGAGCGCUUUAACCCUUAAAAUGACCCUUACUGUGUGUUCAUUCAUUUCCUUUUGUUUUUAUUCAUGCCAGUUGCAUAUAUUAUGUAUCCAUGUACAAAUAUACAACUCUUUUUCCGAUUAUUGAUGCCACUAGUGAGUUAACAAACUAACCUAUAAGUUAACCUCUCAAAAGAUGACCUCUUAUAGUACAUCAGGGAUACAAAAAGCAUAUGAAUAAUCAUGCUGCUCAUCGUUUUGGUAUACAGUCUCAGAUCGAGAGGGAAAAAGCAUGGAAUCAGCACAAUGUAGAGGACGAGAGAGUGUGGCCGUCAUGUCCUCACGUGGCACUUAGUGCACCAUGAACCUGCAGGAAACACAUAGGGAUUUUCAGGACACCAGCUCCACAACAAACACACAUACAAGAACUACCACAAGGUGUAAAUAAAAAAUGCAAAUCAUGCAAUAUAUAUUUUUUGUAAAUGAGAAUAUGUGAUACACUGUGGCUGUUGAUGGAUGAGUGGUCAUAGAGUCAUUUUACGGUCUGUCUCAGCGGUUUAUGGAAACAUGUAGCAGGCCUUCACUUUUAGAUAUAUACUGUAAAUAUAUGAUAUAACAUUAAAAGUUACACAUGCUAUUAGAAUCGCAAACCAAAGUGGAAGGUGUUAUCUAUUAUUUUUUACCAUUUUUUCCGUGUUUCAUUGUCAUACAGUACAGCUCUGGUUCAAGCAAUACAAAAUAUAAAGAAAAAAUGUAACAACACAAUAUACAAUGAGAGAUAAAACCUAUAUUAAAGUGACAUUUCUGCUUACAUUCUCAAUGUCAAUUCUCAUUUCUAAUGGAAGCAUGUGGCGAAUAUUAUUUUAUAAUUGAUUCAUGCUCAUUUUUAGAGAAUCGUGUCUAUGUAAAAUUAACUGUAUUCUCAUUCUCAUUACUUCGGCGCAUAAAGAAAUCUAUCAUAGAACAGAAAUUUGCAUCAAAAAAUGGUUCACAAAUGACCAGUUACUGAAUUUUGCGAGUCAAAUAUACCUGCAGAGAUGGAUUUUAUUUAUGUAUUUUUGUUAUGUAGUCAAGCUACAGUGCUGUUUGACCAGUCAGCACAAGAUCUUGUGUCUGCUGACCAAAACGGCAUUUGAUGGUCUGUUGUGGGGGUAGAUUGUGUGGCACCUGCAAUAUGUAUAGCAGCACAGUCCAAGAUAUACGUAUGUAUUCUGUAUUCUUAUAGUCAACAGACUGUACCAGUAGAAAUAUUUUGACAGUGUACUGUAUGUAUAAAUAACAGAUAUUUAUAGUUACGUAAUAAAGGCGAAUUGGGGAAUCCUUAAUUUUGUACUGUGAGAAAAACCGAGAAGAUUUGUUCCGAUUUAGCUGUCUUGUUUAUGGAGAAAUACAGUAUAUGUUCUUUCUGCUGUUAGAUGCUCAUGGUAGCAAGGUGUGGUCAUUAGCGAAUAGCGAAUGAUGCAAACUGCUUUUGUAGUAGGUAUGUAUUCUAACAAUCACCGUAAUCUUUUCUAGAGACCUCAGUGUGGUGUGUAAGCAGCCAUACCAUUGAACAUAUCAUGACUUGGUGCUAUUGCUGAUCUAUUUUGUGGUCCAGACCAGAGAUAACUCUGCGCCUCACAUUUCUUACCAUCUUUCCUGUAGAUUUACAGAGCAAAUGAGAGAAAACCACACAUGAAUACCUGAAAAAAACCUACUUUGUUACCUGAAUGUGCUACCAAAAUCUAGAGAUGAGCUUCUGCAUUUAGAAUACUGGAACCAGACACUGGGCAGUCAGGAAAACAAACUGUAAGAGGUUAGAAUUUUGGUGCAACGUAGUUUUGGCAGUUUUAAUUUGGUUGUUUUUUUUUUUCUUUUUCAAAAGGCAUUUUUGUUGUGGGCCUUCGUUUGUUAUUUUAUUAUUUACUUGCUUUUUUUUUUUUGGUCAAAAAAUGUUAAUAAUGACAAUGUUAACCCUUUUGGUAGCUUCAACAUAGGUUGUACUGAUGUAAUACAUUUGCACCAUCACAGUGUCUUUUAAUUUCAUUUGUAGAAUCAUUUGCUGAUUUGCACAUCACAAUACGACCUCAUUCAGAGUCAAUUUAAAUGUCAUUUAUACUCCAUUACUUUCAAUUGAUGUGGGUUUCAAUAUACUCUCAACAUUUGCCUGCACAGAAACUAAAAUUAAUUAAACAUCGAAUUGUAAUCUACAAUACCAGAAUUUUAUAGUGUGUCG